rnacentral:rRNA from 1 species
AACGAACGCUGGCGGCAGGCCUAACACAUGCAAGUCGAACGCUGCAGCAAUGCAGAGUGGCAGACGGGUGAGUAACGCGUGGGAAUCUUCCUAUCGGUACGGAAUAGCUCAGGGAAACUUGGGGUAAUACCGCAUACGCCUACGGGAAAGGAUUAUCGCCGAUAGAUGAGCCCGCGUCUGAUUAGCUAGUUGGUGAGGUAACGGCUCACCAAGCGACGANCAGUAGCUGGUCUGAG